rnacentral:rRNA from 1 species
GACGAACGCUGGCGGCGUGCUUAACACAUGCGAGUCGAACGGAAAGGCCCUGCUUUUGUGGGGUGCUCGAGUGGCGAACGGGUGAGUAACACGUGAGUAACCUGCCCUUGACUUUGGGAUAACUUCAGGAAACUGGGGCUAAUACCGGAUAGGAGCUCCUGCUGCAUGGUGGGGGUUGGAAAGUUUCGGCGGUUGGGGAUGGACUCGCGGCUUAUCAGCGUGUUGGUGGGGUAGUGGCUUACCAAGGCUUUGACGGGUAGCCGGCCUGAGAGGGUGACCGGCCACAGUGGGACUGAGAUACGGCACAGACUCCUACGGGAGGCAGCAGUGGGGAAUAUUGCACAAUGGGCGGAAGCCUGAUGCAGCAACGCCGCGUGCGGGAUGACGGCCUUCGGGUUGUAAACCGCUUUCGCCUGUGACGAAGCGUGAGUGACGGUAAUGGGUAAAGAAGCACCGGCUAACUACGUG